GAUGAAGAACGCAGCGAAAUGCGAUACUUGGUGUGAAUUGCAGAAUCCCGUGAACCAUCGAGUCUUUGAACGCAAGUUGCGCCCGAAGCCACUAGGCCGAGGGCACGCCUGCCUGGGCGUCACACGUCGUUGCCCCCCCCCCCAUCUACUCCUUCGGGAUUGCGGGGGGCGGAUGAUGGCCUCCCGUGCGCCUAGCCGCGCGGUUGGCAUAAAUACCAAGUCCUCGGCGACGCACGCCACGACAAUCGGUGGUUGCGAAACCUCGGUUGCCCGUCGUGUGCGUUCGGCGCGCAUCGAGGGCUCGAAAAAAUGCUCGGCUCCGGCUCGGCUUUCAACGCGACCCCAGGUCAGGCGGGGUUACCCGCUGAAUUUAAGCAUAUCAAUAAGCGGAGGA
rnacentral:misc_RNA from 1 species